GAGUAGUUUUGGACCCGUGUCUGCCGGUAGAUCCCCCGACUCUUUGUGCGGCCGACUACCGGCGCCGUGUCYCGUCAUUCGUGUGGCUUAUGCUGCUGUUGCCUUUCAAGUGCUUGCGUGCUGGUACCCGACCUACGGGAAGUGGUGCUUCGUACACGGUUAAAUCGCGGUGGACACCUUCGGGUGUGCCGCUGCGGCCUAAUGGCGCUUGCGGCGUUUCCUCGUGGCGCCGGCUCGCUUAAGUGCCCGGUGCUACCAAGGCAACCUCGCUCCCGCUGUUGGUCUCGGAUGCUGCUCACGAUAAAGGCUCAUGGCCCUUUUGGUUGCCUCGACCCGACCCUCAAAGAUGCUCUCCGAAUUUGAGAACAACCGUGAACAGGUGUUGCCUCUACCUCUCCACAGUUAGUGGUAGGAUACGCAACAUUCUGCGCCGAUCCUCAAUCAAGUAGGAUGAGCUUGGCCCGCUCAAUCGCGACAACCGGCUCGGAAGUUGCCUCAGCCUAUCCACGCAAGUGGACGGGCGGACAAAGACNGAAGCUGGACGUCAACGAAGACGUGCU
rnacentral:misc_RNA from 1 species